rnacentral:rRNA from 1 species
GACGAACGCUGGCGGCGUGCUUAACACAUGCAAGUCGAGCGGUAAGGCCCCUCCGGGGGCACACGAGCGGCGAACGGGUGAGUAACACGUGAGCAACCUGCCCCUGACUCCGGGAUAAGCGGUGGAAACGCCGUCUAAUACCGGAUACGACCCUCCGGCUCAUGCUGUGGGGGUGGAAAGUUUUUUCGGUUGGGGAUGGGCUGGCGGCCUAUCAGCUUGUUGGUGGGGUAAAGGCCUACCAAGGCGAUUACGGGUAGCCGGCCUGAGAGGGCGACCGGCAACACUGAGACUGAGACACGGCCCAGACUCCUGCGGGAGGCAGCAGUGGGGAAUCUUGCGCAAUGGGCGAAAGCCUGACGCAGCGACGCCGCGUGGGGGAUGACGGCCUUCGGGUUGUAAACUCCUUUUACCACUCACGCAGGCCCGGAGUGUUCUUCGGGUUGACGGUAGGUGGGGAAUAAGGACCGGCUAACUACGUGCCAGCCGCCGCCGUAA